rfam:Schistosoma rodhaini strain Burundi genome assembly, scaffold: SROB_contig0002848
AUCUAACUGACGAGUCCCAAAUAGGACGAAACGCGCGUCACUAUUCAU